rnacentral:rRNA from 1 species
UACGUAGGGGGCAAGCGUUGUCCGGAUUUAUUGGGCGUAAAGAGCGUGUAGGCGGCUUUACAGGUCCGUUGUGAAAACUCGAGGCUCAACCUCGAGACGCCGGUGGAAACCGUAAAGCUAGAGUCCGGAAGAGGAGAGUGGAAUUCCUGGUGUAGCGGUGAAAUGCGCAGAUAUCAGGAGGAACACCCGUGGCGAAAGCGGCUCUCUGGGACGGUACUGACGCUGAGACGCGAAGGCCAGGGGAGCAAACGGG